AUAUAUAUUAUUAUAAUACAAUUUGCAAGUUUUAAUAUAUAUUACCUUUAAAAAAUAAAUCGUCCCGCGGUAUACCGCGGGUUAAAAUCUAGUUUUUUGUUUAAAAUAUAUGUCAAAAUUUUGUAUGUUUAAGAAGAGUCUUGUAAAC
rnacentral:sRNA from 1 species